UACGUAGGGUGCAAGCGUUAAUCGGAAUUACUGGGCGUAAAGCGUGCGCAGGCGGUUAUAUAAGACAGAUGUGAAAUCCCCGGGCUAAACCUGGGAACUGCAUUUGUGACUGUAUAGCUAGAGUACGGCAGAGGGGGAUGGAAUUCCGCGUGUAGCAGUGAAAUGCGUAGAUAUGCGGAGGAACACCGAUGGCGAAGGCAAUCCCCUGGGCCUGUACUGACGCUCAUGCACGAAAGCGUGGGGAGCAAACAGG
rnacentral:rRNA from 1 species